UCUUGGACAAUGGGGGCAACCCUGAUCCAGCGAUGCCGCGUGAGUGAAGAAGGCCCUCGGGUCGUAAAGCUCUUUAGGCUGGGAAGAAGGAUGGUUGAGGAAAUGCGAUCAUUUUGACGGUACCAGCAGAAUAAGCACCGGCAAACUCUGUGCCAGCAGCCGCGGUAAUACAGAGGGUGCGAGCGUUAAUCGGAGUUACUGGGCGUAAAGGGCGCGUAGGCGGUUUAGUGAGUGUGAUGUGAAAGCCCCGGGCUUAACCUGGGAAGUGCAUCGCAAACGACAAGACUAGAGUAGAUGAGAGGGUGAUGGAAUUUCCGGUGUAGCGGUGAAAUGCGUAGAGAUCGGAAGGAACGUCGAUGGCGAAGGCAGUCACCUGGCAUCAUACUGACGCUGAGGCGCGAAAGCGUGGGGAGCAAACA
rnacentral:rRNA from 1 species